CCCGCACAAGCGGAGGAACAUGUGGUUUAAUUCGAUGAUACGCGAGGAACCUUACCUGGGCUUAAAUGUAGAGUGCAUUUUCUAGAGAUAGGAAUUCCCUUCGGGGCUUUCUACAAGGUGCUGCAUGGUUGUCGUCAGCUCGUGCCGUGAGGUGUCGGGUUAAGUCCCAUAACGAGCGCAACCCUUAUCGUUAGUUGCCAUCUGGUAAAGCAGGGGACUCUAGCGAAACUGCCACCGUAAGGUGAGAGGAAGGUGGGGAUGACGUCAAAUCAGCACGGCCCUUAUGUCCAGGGCUACACACGUGUUACAAUGGUCGGUACAGAGGGCAGCUACCUGGUGACAGGAUGCUAAUCUCGAAAACCGGCCUCAGUUCGGAUCGAAGUCUGCAACUCGACUUCGUGAAGCUGGGUUCGCUAGUAAUCGCGCAUCAGCCAAGCCGCGGUGAAUACGUUCCCGGGCCUU
rnacentral:rRNA from 1 species